GAUGAAGAACGUAGCGAAAUGCGAUACUUGGUGUGAAUUGCAGAAUCCCGUGAACCAUCGAGUCUUUGAACGCAAGUUGCGCCCGAAGCCAUUAGGCCGAGGGCACGCCUGCCUGGGCGUCACACGUCGUUGCCCCCCCAUCUACUCCUUCGGGAUUGCGGGGGGCGGAUGAUGGCCUCCCGUGCGCCUCGCCGCGCGGUUGGCAUAAAUGCCAAGUCCUCGGCGACGCACGCCACGACAAUCGGUGGUUGCGAAACCUCGGUUGCCCGUCGUGUGCGGUCGUCGCGCAUCGAGGGCUCGAAAAAAUUGCCGGGUUCCGGCUCGGCUUUCAACGCGACCCCAGGUCAGGCGGGGUUACCCGCUGAAUUUAAGCAUAUCAAUAUGCGGAGGA
rnacentral:misc_RNA from 1 species